rnacentral:rRNA from 1 species
AGUCGAACGAAGCGCUUAAAUGGAUUUCUUUGGAUUGAAGUUUUUGUGACUGAGUGGCGGACGGGUGAGUAACGCGUGGGUAACCUGCCUCAUACAGGGGGAUAACAGUUAGAAAUGACUGCUAAUACCGCAUAAGCGCACAGUGCUGCAUGGCACAGUGUGAAAAACUCCGGUGGUAUGAGAUGGACCCGCGUCUGAUUAGCUGGUUGGUGGGGUAAUGGCCUACCAAGGCGACGAUCAGUAGCCGGCCUGAGAGGGUGAACGGCCACAUUGGGACUGAGACACGGCCCAAACUCCUACGGGAGGCAGCAGUGGGGAAUAUUGCACAAUGGGGGAAACCCUGAUGCAGCGACGCCGCGUGAGCGAAGAAGUAUUUCGGUAUGUAAAGCUCUAUCAGCAGGGAAGAAAAUGACGGUACCUGACUAAGAAGCACCGGCUAAAUACGUGCCAGCAGCCGCGGUAAUACGUAUGGUGCAAGCGUUAUCCGGAUUUACUGGGUGUAAAGGGAGCGUAGACGGUUGUGUAAGUCUGAUGUGAAAGCCCGGGGCUCAACCCCGGGACUGCAUUGGAAACUAUGUAACUAGAGUGUCGGAGAGGUAAGCGGAAUUCCUAGUGUAGCGGUGAAAUGCGUAGAUAUUAGGAGGAACACCAG